UACGAAGGAUUCGAGCGUUAUCCGGAUUUAUUGGGUUUAAAGGGUGCGUAGGUGGAUUAAUAAGUCAGUGGUGAAAGCCCGCAGCUUAACUGCGGAACUGCCAUUGAUACUGUUAGUCUUGAGUACAGUUGAGGUGGGCGGAAUGUGUCAUGUAGCGGUGAAAUGCUUAGAUAUGACAUAGAACAUCGAUUGCGAAGGCAGCUCGCUACACUAUUAUUGACACUGAGGCACGAAAGCGUGGGGAUCAAACAGG
rnacentral:rRNA from 1 species